UACUUUUAAAUGACACACAGAGUCCAUUCCAUAAACUACAUAGAAAUGGGAAAAGUUCGACUAUUGCCUCAAGUUUUACAAAUCACAGUGACCAAAACCAAAACGUCAAAAUGUACCAUCCUACUAGUGGCCUAUACCUAAAGGAGAAUAAUCAAAUAGAUUAUUGGCAAAUACUAAAGAAGCUAUAUAGUAUUUUCCACAGAGACAAUUCGAUUGCCCAUGAAAAACACGUUUCAUCUCUAAGCCAAAUGUACCCGUGUCAAGAACUCCACUGAGUACAUCUAAGGCCUCCCCAUACAUGCUCUUCCUCUAAAGAGGGAGAUGUAACAGUGGUUAAGUAGGUGAUGUCAGGAAUCAGAAUGCCUGGUUAAGAAUCCUGGCUUUGAAAACCACAGGCUAUGUCACUAUGGGCCGGUUAUCCACUUACGCAUCAUGCUUCUUAACUGAAAAAUGAGACUAAAAAUAAUUUCUUUUCCAUAAUGUUAGCAAAGUGACAUCUGCAUCUCUCGUCUCAUUUGCAAACCAAGGAUGGAUCUGUAAGAAUGAAAUUGAUGACUGCGUUGAUUCCCCCGAGAGUUCAUCCUUUUCCUGUGGCAAAUCUUUUCCCAAAGUGAGAAUCUCUAGAAUCAUCACGACCAAUACCCAGUUACAUCCCAUUUCGAAAUGAAAUAAAACUGACUCCACUCUAAA